rnacentral:lncRNA from 1 species
UUUUUUUUUUUUUUUUUUUUUUUUUUUGAGACAGGGUACAGUGGCACCAUCAUAGCUCACUGAAGCCUUGAAUUCCUGGGCUCAUGUGAUCCUCCUUCCUCAGCCUCCUGAGUAGCUGGGACCACAGGUGUGUGCCACCAUGCCUGGCUAAUUUUUGUAUUUUUUGUACAGAUGGAGUUUCACCAUGUUGCUCAGGCUGGUCUUGGACUCUUGGGCUCAAGUGAUCUUUCCACCUCAGCCUCUCAAGUAGCUGGGACUACAGGUUCAUGUCACCACAACUGGUUAAUUCUUAAUUUUUUAUUUUUUAUUUUUGCAGAGAUGGAGAUAGAGUGGGGGCUCUUGCUUCAUUUCCCAGCUUGAUCUGAAACUCCUGGUUUCAAGUGAUCCUUCUGCUUUGGCCUCCCCAAAUGCUGUGAUUACAGGCAUGAGCCACCACACCGGGUCCCAAGCUUUUCUUAGCUCUGGAAAUUUGUCAGCAAUUACCUCAAUUUUUUUCUGUUUUCUACUUCUUAGACUCCAAUUAGCACAAACUAAACCUUCCCAUUUUAUCCUUCAGGUCUCGUAAUCUCUAAUUCAUAUUUUCUAUCCCUUCAUCUGUUUUUGCUGCAAUAUGUUGUUUCCUCAGUUAAAACUUGAUAGUCAACAAUUCCUUUAGUUGUGAUGAAUCUGCUCUUAAACCAUUCAUUAUGUUAUAUAUUUCAAGAAUUAAAUUUCAUGACUAAGUUGUCUUUGGUUCUUUUUAAUAUCUGCCUUUUAACAUAUCUUUUAUUUCAUGUUCAUUUUAAUUCAUACAUUAUUUAUUUAAACAUAUAACUGUUAUUCUACUUCUGCUAAUUGCAAUACCUGAAUUCCCUGAAUAUCUAAAUCUACUGUUUCUCAACGCAAAUGGUGUGUUUCCUUGCAUGUGUGAUUAAUCUAGAAGCAUUAAUUAGGGAGGCUUUCCUUCAGAGGGGAUUUUCAUCCACUUCUUAGAGUAACCACCAGAGUCCACUGACUUAGGACUACUUUAAUGCUUUAAAGCAUUCCUGGUUUUAUGAAGGAGUCUUAGGUUCACUUUCUUUACUUUGCCUGGAGUCCAUGGCUUAGUCUCAGAGGCACAGUUUUCCUGUUUCUCAACUACUUUAAUUUUAGCCCACUUUCAUUGGUAAUAACCUUUAGUGAUUAUCUUUCUUUCUAAUGAGCCAGGAGAUGAACUAAUAUUAUGUGUGUUGUAUUUUAUCCAAGAACUAGUUGUAUUUUAGCAGAAGGAUCCUUGAGUAUACCUAGUCAACCAUAUGGCAGGAAGCAGAAAUCAUAUACACCUUAGUUGAUUUUGGUAAUUUGCAUUUUUCAUAUAAAUUAUUCAUUUUCUGUUUUGUGAUAUAUUGGCAUAAAGUUGUUUAUAGUGUCUUAUUAUUUUAAACUCUAUGUUUGGUUAUUUAUCUGUAUUUUCAUUCCUAAAUUUUUUAUGUCUUCUAUUUUUUUCCAGAUCAGUUUCACCAAGUUAUGUGUACUUUAUGUAUUUAUUUAAAGAGACCAACUUUUGUUUAACUUGAUCUUCUCUUCUACAGUAUGAGUUUAUACUCCAGGGGAUCAGCCAACAUUUUCCGUAAAGGGCCAGAAAUUUUAAAACUGAAAAAUGCAGGAAUCAAUAUGAAACACUUAAUUGAUAGGCUCAAUAGCAGAAUGGAAGCUACUGCAGAAAGAAUGAAUAAAUUUGAAGAUAAAACAAAGAAACAAAGAUAAAACAA